UACGUAGGGACCGAGCGUUGUCCGGAAUCAUUGGGCGUAAAGAGCGUGUAGGCGGCCACUUAAGUCCUGCGUGAAAUCUUGCGGCUCAACCGCAAGCGGUCGUGGGAAACUGGGUGGCUAGAGUGCGGGAGAGGAGAGUGGAAUUCCUGGUGUAGCGGUGGAAUGCGCAGAUAUCAGGAAGAACACCCGUGGCGAAGGCAGCUCUCUGGAACGCAACUGACGCUGAGACGCGAAAGCGUGGGGAGCAAACAGG
rnacentral:rRNA from 1 species